UACGGAGGGUCCAAGCGUUAUCCGGAAUCAUUGGGUUUAAAGGGUGCGCAGGCGGUUUAAUAAGUCAGUGGUGAAAUCUCAGAGCUUAACUCUGAAACUGCCAUUGAUACUGUUAGACUUGAGUUCAGUUGGAGUAGGCGGAAUGUGUAGUGUAGCGGUGAAAUGCUUAGAUAUUACACAGAACACCGAUAGCGAAGGCA
rnacentral:rRNA from 1 species